rnacentral:rRNA from 1 species
UAGGGAAUCUUCGGCAAUGGACGAAAGUCUGACCGAGCAACGCCGCGUGAGUGAAGAAGGUUUUCGGAUCGUAAAACUCUGUUGUUAGAGAAGAACAAGGACGUUAGUAACUGAACGUCCCCUGACGGUAUCUAACCAGAAAGCCACGGCUAACUACGUGCCAGCAGCCGCGGUAAUACGUAGGUGGCAAGCGUUGUCCGGAUUUAUUGGGCGUAAAGCGAGCGCAGGCGGUUUCUUAAGUCUGAUGUCAAAGCCCCCGGCUCAACCGGGGAGGGUGAUUGGAAACUGGGAGACUUGAGUGCAGAAGAGGAGAGUGGAAUUCCAUGUGUAGCGGUGAAAUGCGUAGAUAUUUGGAGGAACACCAGUGGCGAAGGCGGCUCUCUGGUCUGUAACUGACGCUGAGGCUCGAAAGCGUGGGGAGCAAACAGG